rnacentral:misc_RNA from 1 species
UCCAGGUUAUCCCUGGCGGUCCGGUCCAUGUCAAGCCUUGGUAAGGUUCUUCGCGUUGCAUCGAAUUAAUCCGCAUGCUCCGCCGCUUGUGCGGGCCCCCGUCAAUUCCUUUGAGUUUUAGCCUUGCGGCCGUACUCCCCAGGCGGGGCACUUAAUGCGUUAGCUACGGCGCGGAAAACGUGGAAUGUCCCCCACACCUAGUGCCCAACGUUUACGGCAUGGACUAC